rnacentral:tRNA from 1 species
GAGCCGCUAGCUCAGCAGGUAGAGCAUCGGACUUUUAAUCCGGUGGUCACAGGUUCGAAUCCUGUGCGGCUCA